AUGCAAGUCAAGGCUGCUCAAAUCAUAUCAGAAGAGCAAGUGUAUUUGGAAGAUGCUAUGUUGGAUGCCUUGGCAGUGGAGAAAACUGCAGCUGAGGCUGCUGCCUUUCUGUCGGUUAAUGCUCUGUUAGGUUCCCAAAAUCCUAAGACAAUCAGAUUAAGAGCUAUGGUGGACAAUAAGGUCAUGCUUCUGUUAGUGGACUCUGGAAGUUCACAUACUUUUAUUGAUCAGCAACUGGCGUACAUGCUACAGUGUCCUACCUCUCCACUUCAUGUUUCUCUGAGAGUGAAAGUAGCUAAUGGGGAGUUCAUGCAGUGUGAGCAAGAAGUUCAUGGGUUUAAAUGGUGGAUUCAGGGUCACACCUUCAUUACUGACAUGAAGUUUGUGCCAUUGGGAGGCUAUGAUGCCAUCUUGGGCAUGGAUUGGCUGGAGAAAUGGGGUCCUAUGACUUGUCACUGGGAGGAAAAGUGGAUUCAGUUCCAACACAAUGAACAACUCAUUACUUUACAAGGCUUGCAUGAUAAACCUGUGACACAAAUUAAAGAGCUCACUGCAGAACAGUUAGAGAAGUGUCUUAAAGGUAAUGAUGUUUGGGCUACAGCAGUGUUAGCCCCUGAAGCAGAUCUCUCUGUCCAAACUACACCUGAAAGUGUACAAGAACUUCUGACUGAAUACAGUGAUGUGUUUCAGAAACCACAGCAGUUGGCACCACAUAGAGCAUUUGAUCAUGCCGUUUCCCCUGUUACCUGA
rnacentral:rRNA from 1 species